AGGGUUUGAUUAUGGCUCAGGAUAAACGCUGGCGGCGCACAUAAGACAUGCAAGUCGAACGGACUUAACCAUUAGUUUACUAUUGGAGCGGUUAGUGGCGGACUGGUGAGUAACACGUAAGCAACCUGCCUAUCAGAGGGGAACAACAGUUAGAAAUGACUGCUAAUACCGCAUAUGCCUAAGUACCACAUGGUACAAUAGGGAAAGGAGUAAUCCGCUGAUAGAUGGGCUUGCGUCUGAUUAGAUAGUUGGUGGGGUAAUGGCCUACCAAGUCGACGAUCAGUAGCCGGACUGAGAGGUUGAACGGCCACAUUGGGACUGAGAUACGGCCCAG
rnacentral:rRNA from 1 species